CGUCACCACGAGCGCGAGAAGUCGAAGGUAGGAGCAGAAAGCGGUGCUAGUGUUAGUUCUGGCCCGUUUGGACCCAAACUAAAGUGUAUCAGUAUGAAGCAAGCGGUGACGGCGCACUGAUUCACUCUCGGAGCUCGGUUCACUAAUGACCGAAUCACCGAGGAACCGACCAAAGAUAACUCACACCCGCACGGAGAAGAAGAACAAGAGGAGGAGAAGAUGAGCUGGAGUGGGGCAAAGAGAACUGCAUUCAGAUCAAACGGAUACAAGAGAGGUGGCCGAGUUGUUUGAGGAUCUAAAGAAUUGAGUGUCACAAUUCAACAUGCAUAUCAGCGAAACUUUUCCCUCUGACUACACCAGCACGCACACACAGAAAUUCAUAGUGCAGGUGGUGAUUGCAGGCGCAUUUUAUCCGAACUGCUUCCUCCAGGGAACUCUAUGGAAACGACCCCAGGACCACCAUAGUGUGUGUAAUCUCCCUCCAUUUGCAUUCCUCUACUAUAAACAGCUCCAGUCUCUCUUCAGACACUGUGGUUAAAUCAAAUCCAUCUCCUUUGACAGCUCCAGGGCCUAUGUAGAGUUCUACCGCUCGUCAAUGAGAGGUUCUGGCGUUCUCCCAGAGGUCUCUCUGUCUCUCCUCCUCACGCAGCAGAGACUUCCUCUCCAUCUCAACGUUUAACCCGCUGGAGAGGUGGAGACUUGGGCAGGGGGGUAGUGUAUCUCACACCUCAGAUAUACACGGGUGAAUGUGGAUUUUCAGAAUCAGUCAGUGAGCCCUGUCGGGGUUCUGAGCAGCUCCGUUGAGCUGGAGAAUCUUCCGUCUAACCCUGUCUUUAUCGUCAAUAUCACCGAGGUCAUCAAAGUCGGGCAUUUCUGGGGUUUCCAGGCUCACUCGGCAAGUCUGGAGAAACAGAGGUGGCUGACAGUGGCCGUUAAUACACGGGUGCUCUGCCCACUUCCUGUCUCACUUUAUUCAAAUCUUCUGUGUCUCGCCCCUUUCUCUGAAACUCACACCAAACCUGGGAAUUACUACAGAGCCAAAAUACUGCAUGUCAUGGGGAGUAAUGUAAGGUAAACUGGUUGGCGCUUAUUGACGGGGUGUAUGUGCGUGACUGCACCUGGCGCAUAUUGAAGAGGGUGAUUGCUAACUCCCUGGAAAAGAAUCUCAAUUGGAGGGGAGUCGAUGGAAAGACUUCACUGUCCGCUCUCCAACUCGGAGAGGUCGUGAUUGCUGCAGUUCAUAGAAACCUCCUCACGGCUAAAGCUGCAGAGAUGGAGGUCGAGGGGACCAUGAAGAGGCGGCUCCAGCUGGCAUCAGAGCGAGAGUGUGGGUGCAAGAGCAGACUUUUGAUAAAGGAGGGUAUUUACACUGUUUUAACUGCUGUGUUUUUUGCGCUAUUUAUUAAUUUGUUAAAAUGUUCAUAUUAUAGUCUAUUUUUAAUUGUUUAGAAAGUAACUAUAUAAAAUGGACGUCAACACGCACCACUCUGUGAGGUCAUUUCUCGCUCUCACCAGAGUAGUUGUGAUUGUUUAGUGUUUACGACGGGGCCAAAACAUUCAAGGCCAUGGUGUAUUUUGACUGUUCCUGUAGCAUAAUCUCACCAAACUGUGUGUACACGAGUCCACAGACACUGAGUCUAUUCACAGUUCCAUGCUGUGUAGAUGUUCUGCUCAUCCUCACUGUACCGUAAAGGUCAGAACCUCACAUCUGUAACCUUGUAGCGUUCCUUAAUAAACACGACUGCAACCUAGCUUGUGUAUCACUACUAUUUUUAGAUCUCCGCCUCUCAAAAGUAUUGGCGCCCUGUGCGUCCGCCUCUCAAAUCUUUUGGCGCCCUACGCGGCCAGCUCUCAAAUCUGUUGGCGCCCUAUGCGUCCGGCUGUCAAAUCUAUUGGUGCCCUAUGCGUCCAGCUCUCAAAACUAUUGGCGCCCUUCACGGGCAGUUCUCAAAAGUAUUGGCACCCGAUCUGAAUUUUGCCACGGCAAGCACCACUCACAUUUUCUUCAGGAAAUGUACCUUAAAAUAAUAAAAAGUGUCUCACUAGGCUGUGUGUCGAGAUAAACGUGAAAACAUCUUGAGCUUGUGUUCACCACAGACCUUAUUUCCGGCAUUUAACCCAAAACCCCAUUGACGGAAGUGCUAAUACGCUGAAUCGUUUCUGGGUUUCACGACUCAUUCCUGCAGCACUCUGUAAGACGGGCUGUUGUUAUCAAACCAUCGAAGUAAGAUAAGCGGCUUUGGUAAUGAUUCUUUAAAUGAACCGAUUCAGAAUCCUCUUCUUGAAUCGUUUGAGUCGUUCUCACUCGGUCAGGGUUGCACGUGUGGGUUGCUUUUCCUGCACGUGUUCACAGACCGUAAAUCCCGACCCCAUGGUAGACACUCGACAGAAAUUUCAUACUAAAGUAAGUAUUUUAUAUUUUCUGGGUCUAAACAGAGCAGAAGUAUUGCUAACGUGUUGUACAGAUUCUAUUGGACUGGUGAACUGUGUGGAUUUGUAUAUUUAACCCAGUUUAAUAUGGCCUGCUUUGUUCAGUCAGAGACAAGUAAAUCUGUUCUAAUGUUCAUUUAUUUUCCAUAGAUAAAACACGUUUGUUUACACAUGAAUACGUGCUUUAUGCUUUCAGAAUGGUGGAGAUUUGGCUCUUAACUAUGGUUAAGUGGGGGGUACUAUAAAAUGCACAGUUCUGAGACACUAUAUACCUAUACUGUGAAAUCAGUACAUGUGUGUUUAGAAUGAUUAUAGCUUUUGGGGAAAAAACUAUUCUUGAAUCUAUUAGUCCUUGUUCUGAUGCACCUGUAACGUCUCCCUGAGGGCAACAGAUCAGAGCCAGGGUGAGAGCUGUCCUCAAUGAUGGUUUUUCCUCUGCUGAGGCAACGGGGGGUGUAAAUAUCCAUCACGGAGGUGUUGUGGAUAAAAAAUGUCAUAAAAUAAACAUAAGGGAGACCUAGCAUCCAGCAAAGGGGAGAAGAAGAAAAGAUGGGCACCUAGACACACAGAAGCGGGAUUAGGCGGACAUUGACAAAUUGGAAUUACACUUUAAAGAUCUUUAAGAGCAGUAGUAGUCAAAAAAGUCAAAAAGAGGUAUACGAGCUGAGCUGAGGAGUGCUAAUACACACACGCGCGCUCGUACAGUCAAGGGCGGGCAAGUAGACACAACAUACACACACAUGAAUAACUUUAAUAAUCUUAUUGUAAUAGAGAAACUCUCUAUAAAAAAACAGAAUAGUAGGAUAUGCAGGACAGUAUGGAGGAUAUGCAGGAGCUUAAGCUCAUCACUUCUGAGAAUUCUCAUCGGUGUGGAUCUCGUGUGGUGGAACGGAACAAUAAAUCUGGACCCUUGCUUCUUCUCACUCACGGCUGGUGUCUUUUUUUCUAUCUCCAACUGGGCUCAGAGGUAGAUGUGAGUGUUGGCUUCUAUGUUGAAUUUUAAGUGUUUUUGGGUAAUAGGCUAUAUUUGAGCCAACAGAGGGGAGAGGUAAUAAAUAAACUUAUAAAUGUGAUUACUUGAUGACCGUAGACAGAACUCUAUAAAUGUGAAAUGUUUUGUUGAAGUUCAGAUGAAUCUCUGAUGUACAGAAUCUUCAACCGAGUUCUGCAGAAAGAUUUUGAAUGCCUGUCAUUCACCAGAACAAAUUUGCAGUUGAACAGUCUGUCUAAAAGAAAAAAUCUAAACACACAAUAUAAAAUUCCUGCAGUGUGAAUAAAGCCUUUGUGUUGCUUUUAGCAAACAUGUCUAGUACUCUCGGUUCAAUGUACACAAUUUACCCCAUUUAAAUGCAUUUUGGAAAUUGUUCCACAUGGCCUUAAAGUGUGAAUAUUCACUGUAUGCCAAAUAAGUAAUCAAAGAAUGGAAUGGAUUUUUUCUUCUCUAAUGGACCAUUAAUCACAAUUAUAAAAGAUGAUGCAUCAGGUACAAAGUAUCAGGGUUUUUCCCCCCUCUUUUUCCCACAAUAGUUGCAUGAUUUUUGCUACACCCUUUCCACCGUGUGUGUGUGUGUGUGUGUGUGUGUGUGUGUGUGUGCGUGCGCGCGCGCUACAAAUCACUUUGAGGUAAAAAUAUUUUAAGGCAGCCACUUUCACCUUCCUACAACAAUUGGUGACUGGUCUGAGGUGAAGCUUCUUGUCAUGUUACUGUGGUCAUGGAUCACAUUGUGGGGAUCUCUGUAAUGUAACCGUUUCUGUAAUUAUCCUUACUUGCCUUUGCGCUUUUGUGCUUCUGUGUCUUCUGUUGGUGCUUUAUUCUGCUUUUUAGGGCCCGAGCACCGCUGCUGCAAAGCCCUAUUGGAUCUGCUGUUUAUUAUUGGGGCAGAGCACCGAAGGUGCAGCGCUUCCGGUGACCACCGGAGGGCGCAUGCACCGGAUGUGCAGGGCCCUUUUGAUUUUCUGGUGUUUAUUGUUUAUUUCAUGCAUUCUUGUCGUUUUUAAGGACCUAAACAUGGCUGAAAACUCCCAAAACUCGGUAGACGCGCCAGCACCAGUGAAAAUGUAACUUACAUUGGGCAUGGGCAUGGUCGAGGAGCUCCUUAGCACCCCUGAAUGCAGACAAAGAUAUCAGUUAGAUUCAGCUUCGGACACAAGUUCCAGGUACUGAUCGAGAAGGAGUGGAUCAGCUUCGGACACAAGCUGGCCUCGCGUGUCGGCCUUGGAGAUGAGAAUCACGCCAACUCGGAACGAUCCCCUCUCUUUGUGCAGUUCAUCGACUGUGUGUGGCAGAUGAUGAGACAGAAAACUACAUGAACGUACAGGUGUUCCUAAUAAAGUGGACGGUGAGUGAACAUGACGUGGCUGAAACGAUUUCCAAAACACUUCAGGAGCAGCUAGCGAUAAAGAUUAAGGUUACACCGGCUUGAUGACUGAUCUUUUAAUAAUGAUACAUAAAUAAAUAGAAAGCGAAUGGAAUGAUUUAGAAAAUCGGUGUCCCAGAACGAAACUGAUGUUUGUGUGCUUUGUUGAUUAUGUAGAUGCCGCUCCAUCAGAAUCUGAGAGAGUUAUUGUUUUUGCGUGAAGAACGUGGAGGAGCUCCAGAGAGAGGCCACGUCAUCCUGCUCCAUCUCCUCAUCCUCAGAGCAUACUUCUCCCUCCUCACAUAGUGGAGGCGGUUCAGCUGGACGGAGAGAUCCUGCAUGCGCUGUGAAGCGAGUGUGUUCUGUGGCGUAUCGGCACCUGGACAAGCACAAGAUCGAGCCGGUGCUCUACAUGAUGGAGUGGUUCAUGUGCGCCUUCUCCAGAACUCUGCCCUGGGCCUCGGUCCUCCGAGUGUGGGACAUGUUCCUGUGUGACGGUCAGACACAAACACACACUUGUCCUUCUUUUCUUUCUGUGUUGAUUCUCUCUCUCAUUCUUUCUUUGUGUAGGAGUGAAAAUGAUAUUCUGUGUGGGUUUGGUGGUGUUGACGUCCAUGCUGGGUACUCGGGAUAAGCUCAAGGCCUGUCCGGGUCAGUAUGAGACCAUGGAGGUCCUCAGAGCGAUUGAGCCUAGAUACAUGCAGGAGGGCUUCUUAGUGCUCCAGGUAACACAACAGAGAGGAAGAGGAGGAGUAUGAUGAUGGGUGUCUCACUACUGGCCUAAUUCUAAAAUCACCACAUACCAAAUGCACAACCAUUUUGUCUUGCUGCCAUCACAAAAUAAUAAUGUUUAAACCUUAAGUAACAGAGUCACAGAGGGUGUAUAUAUUUUUCCACACUACAUGAAGUUUUGGGAUCCUUAUAGACUGUGGAACAGAAGUGUACUCAGUGUGUCUCCACCGUUUUAUUUCAUAUUGGAGUACAACCAUUUUUCUUUUUUACCAUUAAGGAUGAAACACUUGUUUCUUUUAAAACACCGUCUUUAAAUCUUUUUCUACCUCCUAACUAAACCCUCGGACUUAAGACACGAUCUUUGGAGCUGUUGACGCCCUGCUCAGGGUUAAACAACAACGUCUUUACAUUACCUUCAUUAAUAAAUUGUCAAUCUAUCCUCUUGGUUUUUUUAUUUUUUUUUUGGAGCAAAAGUCAGGUCCUCUCUCAUUUCAACAGGUCCUCUUGUUGGUGAAUACACAGCAAUCUUCUAAGGGUAUUAGGAUUUCUCGGAGCAGACAUUGUAGCAGAUAGUUGCAGAGUUUCUUCUGUGUUUUAACCACAACGUCUUAACCAUUAUUUUAACACUGAGACACACGACUCCCUUUAAUUCAUUAACAAACACAUUUGUAAGAAUUCUGGUCAGCAACAGCCCCGAAAGAACACCUGUGUGUCUCUCUCUCUCUCUCUCUCUCUCUCUCUCUCUCUCUCUCUCUCUCUCUCUCUCUCACACCCACCCCCACACACCCACAUGGUCAUCAGAGGUCAUAAAUGUACUGCUGGGACACGGGAUGUCGAAGCAUAGACGAAAGCUUAUGUAUUUAGCGACAGUUCUGUGUAAGUAUCCUCGUUGGCGAACCAUUUUCUGAAAUCUUGUUUAUAGUUUAAACAAAAUGCACGACUCUUUUAAAACACCGUCUUUAAAAAAGGUUUUUCACCCUUAAAAUAACCUGGUUAGAAGGUAGGAUAUGUAAUACAUAUUUUCAUUUUCUUCAGGCAUAUUGUCACUUCAGUCUUCACAACAAAUAACACCGAAGGUUUUGACCUUUCUUUCAGUAAAAGAGAACAACGACAUCAUACAGCCUUGAAGGACUGUAGAAAUUUUUAUUUUACAUCCUAAAGGGUUAGGUUUAGAAGGCAUGUAAUACGCGCGUUUCUUAUAAAACACCGUCUUUAAAACGUUUACCUCCUAAAGGGACCUAUUUAGAAUGUAUGUAAAAACUUUUUUUUUUUUUUUUUAUAUUUCUUCGGGUAUAUCAAUGUUUUAGAGUAUUUAUUUCAGUAAAUUUUUAUUCAAAGUCAUUUGACUUUGAAUGUCACAUUCAACCAUCAUGUAUUUUCUAACAGCGGAGCUAUACAAAACAAACCCCCACAAUCUAAAUUUAAUGUGUGGUUGCGAGAUAAAAAUUCUAAUUUAUUGAAUUAAUUAAAUAUUUAAAGUUGUACACAUUAUUUUGAUGAGUUGUGUUGACAUAAUAAUGUUGAUAAUUACAUCAACUUAAUGCAGAAAUUACACACAAUAUUAAUUGAUUUAAAACAAAAUUUACGUCGUAGUACAUUUACAUUUAUUCAUUUAACAGAGUGUUAGAGGACCUGUAGACUGAACAAAUACUAAGGACAUUACAAUGUGAUUAUCAUUUCACUUACAAUUAAAUUCUACUAAAGCAAUGAAUUUGGGGCAUGUUCUCAAUUGUGAUAUGACCAAUAGUGGACUCGUGUAUAGGCUACACCUGCUAAUACAUUUGAUGGAUUAUUUUGCACUACUACACGUAGCUAAUGCUAGUCAUAUUUAGCAGUGUAAUUUGAAUAUCUACUCUUUAGUUUACCGUAGCAGUGGAUAAGAAGGAAAAAAGUUUCAUUUGACAAAUCUGCUCUUCUAGAGAGGGCUUUUCAUUUGUGCUAUAGGAAAGAUAAGCAUGAUUACAUUUCUGCUUAUUCAUGUAAACCUCAACUACAUUGUGUAAUCUAAUUUCAUGUAUUGAUACAUUUUUUAUUUUAUUUUUUAAAAUCUUUUGUCAUUCGCACACGUAGCCUUCUAGCUCCACAGCCUUUGGACUGUGGAUAGU